rnacentral:rRNA from 1 species
CAUCCUCUGGCUGCCGAACGCGACCGACGCGGGCGUGCCGACAAUCAAGGGCUACCACUGGUGGCGCGCGGCCGCGGCGCUGCUGCCACAGGAAGGCUCUGUGUCGGGGCUCCGCAUCGCAGCAAAGGUGGACGAUGACUCCUUCGUCCAUCUCGGGAACCUGGUGAGUGCAAUCCACCCA